rnacentral:rRNA from 1 species
UUCAUGCUUUUAUAGUAUGAAAAUUGGUGAUUUAUAAUAACUUACCAAAUCGCAAAGUGAAAACAGGCGAUAAAUCAUUCAAGUUUCUGACCUAUCAGCUUUCGACGGUAUGGUAUUGGCUUACCGUGGCAGUGACGGUUAACGGGGGAUUAGGGUUCGAUUCCGGAGAGGGAGCCUGAGAAACGGCUACCACAUCUAAGGAAGGCAGCAGGCGCGCAAAUUACCCAAUUCUAACAGUUUGAGAGAGGUAGUAACAAGAAAUAACAAUACAAGGCAGUUAAAAUGCUUUGUAAUUGGAAUGAUAGAAAUUUAAACCCUUUUUAAAGUAUCAAUUGGAGGGCAAGUCUGGUGCCAGCAGCCGCGGUAAUUCCAGCUCCAAUAGCGUAUAUUAAAAUUGUUGCAGUUAAAAAGCUCGUAGUUGAAGUUCUGCUGAAAGUAACCGGUCUGCUUUUAAUAAAAGUGGUAUCUUGGUAUGUAUUUAGCAAUGAUGUCCUUUGAAGUGUUUUUUACUUUAUUGUAAUAAAGCAUAUUCAGGACUUUUACUUUGAGAAAAUUAGAGUGUUUCUAGCAGGCUAACGCUUUGAAUACUGCAGCAUGGAAAUAAUAA